rnacentral:rRNA from 1 species
AUAUCAAUAAGCGGAGGAAAAGAAACUAACAAGGAUUCCCCUAGUAACUGCGAGUGAAGCGGGAAAAGCUCAAAUUUAAAAUCUGAUGGUCUUUGGCCGUCCGAGUUGUAAUUUAGAGAAGCGUUUUCCGCGCUGGACCGUGCACAAGUCUCCUGGAAUGGAGCGUCAUAGAGGGUGAGAAUCCCGUCUUUGGCACGGAUACCCCAGGGCUUUUGUGAUGCGCUCUCGAAGAGUCGAGUUGUUUGGGAAUGCAGCUCAAAAUGGGUGGUGAACUCCAUCUAAAGCUAAAUAUUGGCGAGAGACCGAUAGCGAACAAGUACCGUGAGGGAAAGAUGAAAAGAACUUUGAAAAGAGAGUCAAAAGACUUGAAAUCGUUGAGAAGGAAGCGGUAGAAAUUUAUUCUUCGGCAUUCAUCUUAGGUUUUCACUUAACUAUUCCGGAGCUAAGGUACGCAAGGCCUGGCGUUGGACUUGGGGAAGUGGGGCUGUGGUGGGUGUUGUGAGGCAAAAUGGGAUUGUAUUUCUGCAAAGGUGCUUGUCGCUUAGGGGGCUUCGGCUCUCAACGAUGGGUGUGCCGGUAGGGGUAUAGUCCGAGGGGCUUUGUGCGAUUUUGCCAAAAUGGUUUUUACCGA